AGCGAACGCUGGCGGCAGGCUUAACACAUGCAAGUCGAGCGCCUGUAGCAAUACAGGAGCGGCAGACGGGAGAGUAACACGUGGGAAUAUGCCCUUCGGUUCGGAAUAACUCAGGGAAACUUGAGCUAAUACCGGAUACGCCCUUACGGGGAAAGAUUUAUUGCCGAAGGAUUAGCCCGCGUCCGAUUAGCUAUUUGGUGAGGUAACGGAUCACCAAGGCGACGAUCGGUAGCUGGUCUGAGAGGAUGAGCAGCCUCAUUGGGACUGAGACACGGCCCAAACGCCUCCGGGAGGCAGCAGUGGGGAAUAUUGGACAAUGGGCGCAAGACUGCUCCAGCCAUGCCGCGUGGGUGAUGAAGGCCCUAGGGUUGUAAAGCCCUUUCGGCGGGGAAGAUAAUGACGGUACCCGCAGAAGAAGCCCCGGCUAACUUCGUGCCAGCCGCCGCCGUAA
rnacentral:rRNA from 1 species